GAGCGUAGGGCGCGAGCGUUUGCCGGAUUUAUUGGGCGUAAAGAGCUCGUAGGCGGCUUGUCACGUCGACUGUGAAAUCCCGGCGGCUCAACUGCGGGCUUGCAGCCGAUACGGGCAGGCGUAGAGUGUGGUAGGGGAGACUGGAAUUCCUGGUGAGCGGUGAAAUGCGCAGAUAUCAGGAGGAACACCGGUCGGCGGAAGGCGGGUCUCUGGGCCAUUAACUGACGCUGGA
rnacentral:rRNA from 1 species